GGGUACUUUUGGAUUCAAGUAGUAGGCUGCAUAAUGGAGGACAAAAUUUACGAUCAUUAAGAUGUAAGAAAUGCCAAACACUAAGGAUUAAGCUAUGUUGUUCCAUCAUGUUGUACCUGCCAGAUGCAACUCCUUUCCCAUAUGUAAAUCCCAUCUAUCCUCUAUGGUGUACAAAGUAUGGUGAAGCCUUUUUCUCACCUGUUGCACCAAUAAUCUACUGCUUGGUUGCUGCAUCUUUGUGUAGAAAAGAGCCCAUAUGUGGCCAUUUGUCAUUAUUACCCAUUCAUAGCAACCACCAUCGAUGAUGGCAGUCUUUAUCAUAGUCCUCUCGUCCUUCCUGACAGAGUCAUCAAUCUGCAGUUGCUUGGUUGUCCGGUCUGAGUAAGCACAUGAAUUGAGUAAUGAAUACUGAGCCCUAACUUCAGAUGGAAUCCUAGGGAUCAUCAAUGACUUACAGCAGAAUAUUAAGACUCAUGAUAUUACCACAAAAAGAAGCACACACAUAAGGGUUAGAAUGAAAUAUACCCACCCAUGAUGAUGAUUUUGGAGUUGAUCUUUACAUUCCUUGGAGACACUUAGAUCAUGAAAGAAUAUGACUUUAUCAAAUUUGCUCCCUGUAGUCGCCUCAGUCGAUGUGCAUAU
rnacentral:lncRNA from 1 species